CGCGGGGUGGAGCAGCGAUAGCUUGUCGGGCUCAUAACCCGAAGGUUGCAGAUUCAAAUCCUGUCCCCGCAA
rnacentral:tRNA from 2 species